AACGAACGCUGGCGGCAGGCUUAACACAUGCAAGUCGAGCGCCCCGCACGGGGAGCGGCAGACGGGUGAGUAACGCGUGGGAAUCUACCCAUACCUACGGAUUAACGCAUGGACACGUGUGCUAACACCGUAUACGCGCUUCCGGAGAAAGAUUUAUCGGUGAUGGAUGAGCCCGCGUUGGAUUAGCUAGUUGGUGGGGUAAAGGCCUACCAAGGCUACGAUCCAUAGCUGGUCUGAGAGGAUGAUCAGCCACACUGGGACUGAGACACGGCCCAGACUCCUACGGGAGGCAGCAGUGGGGAAUAUUGGACAAUGAGCACAAGCCUGAUCCAGCCAUGCCGCGUGAGUGAUGAAGGCCCUAGGGUUGUAAAGCUCUUUCUCCGGGGAAGAUAAUGACGGUAACCGGAGAAGAAGGCCCGGCUAACUUCGUGCCAGCAGCCGCAGUAAUAC
rnacentral:rRNA from 1 species